UGGAAACGACUGCUAAGACUGGAUAGGAGACAAGAAGGCAUCUUCUUGUUUUUAAAAGACCUGGCAAUAGGUAUGCUUAGGGAGGAGCUUGCGUCACAUUAGUUAGUUGGUGGGGUAAAGGCCUACCAAGACUAUGAUGUGUAGCCGGGCUGAGAGGUUGAACGGCCACAUUGGGACUGAGACACGGCCCAAACUCCUACGGGAGGCAGCAGUAGGGAAUUUUCGGCAAUGGAGGAAACUCUGACCGAGCAACGCCGCGUGAACGAUGAAGUAUUUCGGUACGUAAAGUUCUUUUAUUAGGGAAGAAUAAAUGAUGGAAAAAUCAUUCUGACGGUACCUAAUGAAUAAGCCCCGGCUAACUAUGUGCCAGCAGCCGCGGUAAUACAUAGGGGGCAAGCGUUAUCCGGAAUUAUUGGGCGUAAAGGGUGCGUAGGCGGUUAAAUAAGUUUGUGGUCUAAGUGCAAUGCUCAACAUUGUGAUGCUAUAAAAACUGUUUAGCUAGAGUAAGAUAGAGGCAAGUGGAAUUCCAUGUGUAGUGGUAAAAUGCGUAAAUAUAUGGAGGAACACCAGUAGCGAAGGCGGCUUGCUGGGUCUUUACUGACGCUGAGGCACGAAAGCGUGGGGAGCAAACAGGAUUAGAUACCCUGGUAGUCCACGCCGUAAACGAUGAGUACUAAACGUUGGGUAAAACCAGUGUUGAAGUUAACACAUUAAGUACUCCGCCUGAGUAGUACGUACGCAAGUAUGAAACUUAAAGGAAUUGACGGGACUCCGCACAAGCGGUGGAUCAUGUUGUUUAAUUCGAAGGUACCCGAAAAACCUCACCAGGUCUUGACAUGCUUCUGCAAAGCUGUAGAAACACAGUGGAGGUUAUCAGUUGCACAGGUGGUGCAUGGUUGUCGUCAGCUCGUGUCGUGAGAUGUUGGGUUAAGUCCCGCAACGAGCGCAACCCUUAUUGUUAGUUACCAGCACGUAAUGGUGGGGACUUUAGCAAGACUGCCAGUGAUAAAUUGGAGGAAGGUGGGGACGACGUCAAAUCAUCAUGCCCCUUAUGACCUGGGCUACAAACGUGAUACAAUGGCUGUUACAAAGGGUAGCUGAAGCGCAAGUUUUUGGCGAAUCUCAAAAAAACAGUCUCAGUUCGGAUUGAAGUCUGCAACUCGACUUCAUGAAGUUGGAAUCGCUAGUAAUCGCGAAUCAGCAUGUCGCGGUGAAUACGUUCUCGGGGUUUGUACACACCGCCCGUCAAAC
rnacentral:rRNA from 1 species